GACGAACGCUGGAGGCGUGCUUAACACAUGCAAGUCAAACGAUGAAAUGGAGCUUCCUCCAUGGAUUAGUGGCGAACGGGUGAGUAACACGUGAAUAACCUGCCCUUAAUUUUGGAAUAACCCAGGGAAACCUGGGAUAAUACCGGAUAAGCACACCUGUGGCAUCACAUGGUUUGGGUAAGUUUUUCGAUUAAGGAUGGAUUCGUGGGCUAUCAGCUUGUUGGUGAGGUAAUUGCUCACCAAGGCGACGACGGGUAGCCGGCCUGAGAGGGUGAACGGCCACACUGGGACUGAGACACGGCCCAGACUCCUACGGGAGGCAGCAGUGUGGAAUAUUGCGCAAUGGACGAAAGUCUGACGCAGCGACGCCUCGUGAGGGACGAAGGUCUUCGGAUUGUAAACCUCUUUCAGCAGCGACGAAGCGAAAGUGACGGUACCUGCAGAAGAAGCACCGGCUAACUAUGUGCCAGCAGCCGCGGUAA
rnacentral:rRNA from 1 species